rnacentral:rRNA from 1 species
CUACGGGCCGCAGCAGUCGAGAAUAUUGGGCAAUGGGCGAAAGCCUGACCCAGCGACGCCGCGUGUUCGAAGAAGCCCUUCGGGGUGUAAAGAACUUUUCUAUGGGAACAAUCUUCGGAUGAGCGUACCAUAGGAAUAAGGAGCCUCUAAUCACGUGCCAGCAGAGGCGGUAAUACGUGAGCUCCAAGCGUUAUCCGGAUUUACUGGGCGUAAAGGGUCUGUAGGCGCUUUAUUAGGUUUCUUGUUAAAUUCCAGGGCUUAACUUUGGAAAUGCGGGAAAAACCAAUAAAGUAGAGGGCGUUAGAAGUUGAUGGAACGCUCGGUGUAGGGGUGAAAUCCGUUGAUAUCGAGCGGAACACCAAAAGCGAAGGCAUUCAACUAGAGCGACCCUGACGCUGAGAGACGAAAGCGUGGGGAUAAAAAAGGAUUAGAUACCCCAGUAGUC